ACCACCAUCCCCAUUUCUUCCCUUCAACCUCGCGAGUUCGAGCAGCAUGAGCUCGGCAGAUUGCGAGGUGGCUCCAGGAGAUUUCUUCAGCUUCUUCCGCCUUCGUUUUUCCGCCGCUUUGAGGUUUCUGGAGGCGAGAAAACUCUCACAGAUCGAGCUCCAGGACAAUAUCCUUACCGGCAGGUUCUUGGACACCGGCGGCGCUGCCAUCUCGCCAAACCUAGGGCAGAUUAACCUCUCCAACAACCAGCUUUCAGGGAGAUUCCACUAGAGAUUCCGGAAUGCUAAUAGAUCUGUCGAAACCAAUAGCUGGAACGGCAAUCAAAGAGGAAGAAUCACGGAGCUCAACGCCGCCAGAUCUCUUGAGCAUUUGAAGUGCUGCCUGAGGAUUCUUUCCUUUCUCUCCCCUUUCUCUUCCCUAGGGAUUACAUUAUUUUCCCUUCUCUUGCUGCGAAGAUAUUGCUCCGUAAUUGAUUCUUUUCUCUCACUCAUCCGUCCAUCCGAGUAAACAGAGCAUUAAGCUCUAAUUACACAUAAUGGAUGGAAGAGGAAGAGGAAUGAGAAAUCAUCAGUAUUUAUUUUUCCAUCAAUGUGUGCAGUCAAUGAACACGUCUAAUAUCUCCCACUCA